GAGGACGCGUGUGCAGGGGGCGGGGAAAUGGGUGGGUGGGGGGGGUUAUACGGAAUGACUUGGAGUAAAGCGCAAGCAGGCUGUCUGGUAAGUUGGACGUAAAAUCUCCGGGCUUAACGGGGAGGGGUCGUUGGAGACUGGCAGACUUGAGGCGAUGAGAGGGGCAUGGAAUUCCCGGUGUAGUGGUGGAAUGCGUAGAGAUCGGGAGGAACACCAGAGGCGAAAGCGGUGCCCUGGCAUUGGCCUGACGCUGAGAUGCGAAAGCGUGGGGAGCGAACGGGAUUAGAUACCCGAGUAGUC
rnacentral:rRNA from 1 species